UACGUAGGUGGCAAGCGUUGUCCGGAUUUAUUGGGGUUAAAGGGUGCGUAGGCGGUCCUAUAAGUCAGUGCUGAAAUAUCCCGGCUUAACCGGGAGGGUGGCAUUGAUACUGCAGGACUUGAGUAAAGUUGAGGUUGGCGGAAUUGACGGUGUAGCGGUGAAAUGCUUAGAUAUCGUCAAGAACACCGAUUGCGAAGGCAGCUAACUAAGUUUUAACUGACGCUGAGGCACGAAAGUGUGGGGAUCAAACAGG
rnacentral:rRNA from 1 species